UUUGGUGGUGGUGGUGGUCCCAGAUAGGGGCAGCCAGCGUCCCCUUUUUUCCUGGCUUUCCAGGGAGAGCAGUAAGAGAAAGAAAGAAGCAAACGAAAUUCCUGAAUGGAUAAGAGAUGCUACGUCAGCGGUACUGGAGCCGCAUCCUCCACUCCACAAGAAGAGAAGAGCAAGGAGAGACCAGCGGGCGGGCGGCAGCGGCAGUGGCCUCUCCGUGAGGUCGCACAGGAAAGAAGCAGCCAGCUGUCCAGAAGCAGCCUCCUCCUUGUUUGGUUUCUUCGGAUGUCAUCCUAGGUGACCGCGUCUCUGGCUUUGGGCUACUCCCCUGGGCGGGUGGGUGCUCUACCCUCCCGCCCACUCUCUGAGGACAUGAGGACCAGCGACAUCCAGCACCACGGACAGCUCCCGGCGGUUCCCUGAGUGCCUAGUCCGUGUGCAUGACUGGAGGAGACUCCCAUAGCCUUGCAGAGGGAAAGCAGAUACAACCCACCCCAGACCAUGGCGGUUUCCCUGCAACGAGCCCAGUGGCUUUCUGGAGGACACUUUUCCUGGAGGGAAGCAGUGACUCAGCAUAAGUUCUUGCCUGGCCUCACUUGAGAGUCUCUUCCCGCUGAUCAGCAGAGGUCGUCUCCCUCUUCACCAGACCCUUGCUGCCUACCUGGUCCUUCUAACUGUGCAUUGGGUUUGGAGCACUUUAAACAGUAGAAUGACUGCAAGUCAAGAGCUCAGCCUACAGGAAGGACAACAAAAGGCAGGGUCAGUGCUGGAGAGACUGGACAGACCAAAAAGAAGACCUGACCUCACCCUGAGCACCCCUGUCAUGCAAAGUACGUUUGCAGACUGCCAACUGGCUGGCUCCAGCAAGCAGAAGUGGACGGGGUGGAGGCUCAACCUGGCAGCUUCUCCCCAAAGCCAUGCCUGGUCACUUCCAGCAAGUUGUCCAGCCUGACCAUCCAUUUCCCCUGUCGCCUCUCAGCUGGGUCCCCGAGACCCACCCCAUCUCCAAUAAAGAACGUUGCAUACAGAGCAUUA
rnacentral:sRNA from 1 species